GACGAACGCUGGCGGCGUGCCUAAUACAUGCAAGUCGAGCGAGGCUCUUCGGAGUCUAGCGGCGGACGGGUGAGUAACACGUGGGCAACCUGCCUGUAAGACUGGGAUAACACCGGGAAACCGGUGCUAAUACCGGAUAAUCCUUUUCCUCUCAUGAGGAAAAGCUGAAAGUCGGUUUCGGCUGACACUUACAGAUGGGCCCGCGGCGCAUUAGCUAGUUGGUGAGGUAACGGCUCACCAAGGCGACGAUGCGUAGCCGACCUGGGAGGGUGAUCGGCCACACUGGGACUGAGACACGGCCCAGCCUCCUACGGGAGGCAGCAGUAGGGAAUCUUCCACAAUGGACGAAAGUCUGAUGGAGCAACGCCGCGUGAGCGAUGAAGGCCUUCGGGUCGUAAAGCUCUGUUGUUAGGGAAGAACAAGUACCGGAGUAACUGCCGGUACCUUGACGGUACCUAACCAGAAAGCCACGGCUAACUACGUGCCAGCCGCCGCGGUAAAAC
rnacentral:rRNA from 1 species